CGGCGUGCGAGCCCAGCGCCGGGAGUGGGAGCGGCUCGGAGUUCUGCAGGAUGAGCGCCGUCGCUGAAGAUGCUAAGCCAGAAGAUGCCAAACCAGAAUCUGAAAAAAAAAUAUACUAUUGUGAAGUUUGUAAAGUUCCAUGUAUGAGUUCUAUAAGUCUUCAGUCACAUUAUCGUGGUAUGAAGCAUAGAAAGAAAGAAGAAGCACUGAGAUUCAAGACUGUCUAUUGUAAGUAUAAUGCUUUUAUCUUUUCAGCUUCUUAGUGUAGAUACUGCUUGGGGGGUUUAAUAUUUGUUGCUUUUCCAGUAGUUUGUAUAUUUGCAUUUGUCAGAUCUGUACACCUGUAACUAUGGUUCUCUUUAUAUGCUGAACAUUUUUUGAGGUAUUUAUCUAAUGAACUGUUGAGUUAAUACAUACUUACUAGUACGAUGCCUUAAUUUUGCCUUUCCACUUCUAAGUACCAAUAUAUCUGUUUAAUAGAGAAAUAGGUAGGCCGUGGCUUAGUUUCUUCCUUCCCAAGCUAAACUGUCUUGUGCUUGUUGUUAGCUUCAUGCUUUCAUUGUUAAGCUUUAGGCAGUAUGCUAAGAAUCUAUACAAGUAGGCUAACACAGCACAGAUGCUGCUUUGCCUGUGCUGAACUUGCCUAGCUACAUCACAAGAAUGUUAUGCCUUUCUUCAUUGUAGUGUGGACUUGGAGUAGCAAAGAUCCAUUCAAUGUAAACUGAGUUGUUGGGGAAUGUUUUCCCAUAAAAUGAGAAUAUGGAUCCAGACUGACAUGUGCCAAGAAAAUGAGAGUAAAUGGUAAAAGGACUCAAAAUCUGGGAUAUGACUUGCUUCAGAAUGGUGUUUGGUAAAAGCACGGAUGCACAAGAUUUUAAAGUACCCCAAGCGGAGAACACUGGCAUAUAUGGAAGUAGUGAAUAAAAACUAGUGUGAAGAUUAUAAAUUGGAAUGGACAUACAGUCAUCGCAAGAAAUAAACCUUUCAUUUCUAGUUCAUUUUUUUAGUGUUUUUCCUAAGAAGCUAGGCUUACGGAAACGCAUUUUGGCUUUGAUGUCUGUUCUCCAGUGUCUUUUGAACCAGAUUAGUCAGAAUGGAUUCCAAGUACGUAUCUGCACAGAAAAAUGUGAUGUCAGCCCUUCACUGCUGGAAGCACUGCUGGCUGAGCUCACCUCUUACUGCACUCUGAAGAAUCAGCACAGGAGGAAGAUCCAGCAAAAGCAUUGGUCAGAGUCUUUUUCCCAAGAGGCUGGCCUUCAUUACCUGCACUGGUGGUUUUGGGCUGAAAACAGAAUGUUAGUGCAAGGCACGUCAUUCAAGUGUGUGAACAACUCUGAGACGUUCUGCAUCAGUAGAUAUAAGAUCUGCAUGCAGUGCUGCUCUUAGAAAUGUUGGUAAUGCUACUUCUUGACAAAUUCUGCAAGAGUUCUGAAGAUACACAUGUCUAUGCAGUGUCCCGUGGAUUUUCAGCAGUGUAGAAUUUUAUUGAUAUCUCAGUAACAACAGAUUUCUUUGGCCAUGGGUGGAAUAUUUUUAGAGGAAGAUGAGUUUCUAUACCAUUCUUUGGAUUUCGUAUUGGAAAAGAUCAUUAAGGAUGGUACUGAUGAUGAAUGUAAUCUUGUAAGCUUGAUUGCUGAAUGGUUUCUGCUUCAAGAAUGUAAAGUCUUCUUUUGGAGGAGUAAUGCAAAAGAUGCAUAGUAUGAAAACUGAAACUUGAUUAAGAGGACAGAAGAAAGUGUGAUAGCAAGACAGUAGGAAGAGUGGCGGGAUGCAGGUGUCUGUUGCAAAGACCUACGCUUCUGGAAAAUGAUACUGCUUAAUCUACUGUAGGCUCAGCAUUUCAUGAAGGUUCAAUGUAAGAACAUAUGGUUGUUUCAGCCACAGCAUCUCCUGACGUGUCAUCGUUAAAAGUUUUUCAGCUGAGAUAUAUCUUAUGGAAAUGGGUAAGUCCCUUAUUGUUAAGGAAGGUAGUCUUCAUAUGCAACUUGAGGAAACAAACUGAAGCUAACUUUCAGAGUGGUCACAGCAUCACAGGAUGCCACAAGGCAGAAACUUUACAAGGUGUGCUUUGUUUAAUCCAGAAAAUCCCGAACCACAGUAAUCCACGUUGAAGAAUAAGCAUCUUUUUACUUCUAAUGUGGAAUGAGUAUGCGUAGUACUGAUGUCUCCUUUAUUCUGCUUUGUCUGUCUUGACCUGUACUUCACUGAAGACCUGCACAUGGGAAGCCAACUUUGUAAGCUCUUGUUACAGUUGUCGUGUCCAGAGAAGGCCAAAAGUUAGCCUGCUGAAGUUACUUAUUUGUCUUAGGGAUG